CAGCAGCCACGGUAAUACGUAGGUGGCAAGCGUUGUCCGGAAUUAUUGGGCGUAAAGGGCUCGCAGGCGGUUUCUUAAGUCUGAUGUGAAAGCCCCCGGCUCAACCGGGGAGGGUCAUUGGAAACUGGGAAACUUGAGUGCAGAAGAGGAGAGUGGAAUUCCACGUGUAGCGGUGAAAUGCGUAGAGAUGUGGAGGAACACCAGUGGCGAAGGCGACUCUCUGGUCUGUAACUGACGCUGAGGAGCGAAAGCGUGGGGAGCGAACAGGAUUAGAUACCCCAGUAGUCCCUGUCUCUUAUAA
rnacentral:rRNA from 1 species